AUUGAACGCUGGCGGCAGGCCUAACACAUGCAAGUCGAGCGAGUGGCGGACGUGUUGGUUAUGUCUGUGCAACUGCCUGAUGGAUGGGGUUCACUACUGGACACGGUUGCUAAUACCGCAUACCAUCAGCUGUGCCCAGGUGGGAUUAGCUAGUGGGUGGGGUAAAGGCUCACCACGGCCACGAUCCCUAGCUGGUCUGAGAGGAUGACCAGCCACACGGGAACUGAGACACGGUCCAGACUCCUACGGGAGGCAGCAGUGGGGAAUAUUGCACAAUGGGCGCAAGCCUGAUGCAGCCAUGCCGCGUGUGUGAAGAAGGUCUUCGGGUUGUAAAGCACUUUCAGCUGGGAGGCGUUACCCGCAGAAGAAGCACCGGCUAACUCCGUGCCAGCAGCCGCGGUAAUAC
rnacentral:rRNA from 1 species